UUAACAAUUCUUUGGUUCUUCUCGUUCAGACAGAUUCAAUAGUAAAAGCACCCAAGAGAUUAUUUAUUCUCCCGCUGGGUGGGUUUAAGUCCGAAGCGUUCUGCAAACGCCGCCAACAUCACAGCACAGACAUAUCUAGGCCGCACUUUUAUUGGAAGCUUCACGGCGCAGAACUAGGCCACGCUUUUAUGGGAAGCUUCUCAGCACAGAACUAGGCCUCGCGUUAAUUGGAAGCUCGUCCCAGAAUGCUCCGGGCACACCCAGCGGAAGCAACGGGAUGGGGUACACGGAGUGGAUUUAUACAGUUCACACAGCAGCGUGACUGAUUAACAUUUUAAUGAUCCUUCCGCAGGUUCACCUACGGAAA
rnacentral:misc_RNA from 1 species